GACGAACGCUGGCGGCGUGCCUAAUACAUGCAAGUAGAACGCUGAAGAGAGGAGCUUACUCUUCUUGGAUGAGUUGCGAACGGGUGAGUAACGCGUAGGUAACCUGCCUUGUAGCGGGGGAUAACUAUUGGAAACGAUAGCUAAUACCGCAUAACAAUGGAUGACACAUGUCAUUUAUUUGAAAGGGGCAAUUGCUCCACUACAAGAUGGACCUGCGUUGUAUUAGCUAGUAGGUGAGGUAAUGGCUCCCCUAGGCGACGAUACAUAGCCGACCUGAGAGGGUGAUCGGCCACACUGGGACUGAGACACGGCCCAGACUCCUACGGGAGGCAGCAGUAGGGAAUCUUCGGCAAUGGGGGCAACCCUGACCGAGCAACGCCGCGUGAGUGAAGAAGGUUUUCGGAUCGUAAAGCUCUGUUGUAAGUCAAGAACGGGUGUGAGAGUGGAAAGUUCACACUGUGACGGUAGCUGACCAGAAAGGGACGGCUAACUACGUG
rnacentral:rRNA from 1 species